rnacentral:lncRNA from 1 species
GGUACUUUUUUUUUUUUUUUUUGAGACGGAGUCUCCUUCUGUACGCCAGGCUGGAGUGCAGUGGCACGAUCUUGGCUCACCGCGACCUCCACCUCCCAGGUUCAAGCGAUUCUCCUGCCUCAGCCUCCUGAGUAGCUGAGAUUACAGGCAUUCAUCAUCACUUCCAGCUAACUUUUUGAAUUUUUAGUAGAGAUGGGGUUUCACCAUGUUGGUCAGGCUGGUCUCGAACUCCUG